CUGCAUGUCUCUUUUUACGCAUAAGACAAUCCUCCUUGCUUUUUUUUCCUACUGAGAAAGCCCUGUCUUACCAGCCCCGGAGGACAAUGGUGGAUUUGAAACCAAUGGCUGUGCAUGCUGAUACCUGUUCGUCCUUUCAGAAGGCUUUGUAUGGCUAGCGCCACAUAGCCAGGCCUGGAGCUCUUUCUUAUGCAAGGGAAAAAACAGAAAGCAGAACAUGCUGGGAAAAUGAAUAGCCGAGGGACAAAGUGGUCUGCAGAUGUGGCUCCAUGCUCCCUUCAGCAAACUAUUUACCUCUUAAUUUGUUAAAAACCAUAUGAGCUUACCUGUGACUUUUGCCUGAGCGACAUUUGUCAAUACUAUAUGGCCAUUUGCUUUGACUUAGUUUUCCCCCAUUGAUGUUGAACAAAUGUUUGCUUCCUUCCAGAAGUUUCCCUGUCUCCCUGGCUGCUACCUUCCUCUGUUCCCUGUCCUACACACAUGGUUGCUUCUCUUCUCCAGCAAACAGUACAGAGAGCCCCUGAGCCCCAGAGCAUGGCCUCCCUUUGGUGUUCUUAGCCAGUUCUGGUAAUACCACAUCUCUGUCUUCACCACUACCUAGGGAGAUCCCAGAUUAUAGUGCUCCCCAGAAAGCUGUGCUCACUGGCUUCUGCUCCCUGCCCAGUCUCACCAGGUAGCUGGAAACAUCUCCUCUAAGCAAUCUCCACACAUGCCAUGGAUUCUUCUCUGUUCUGUCCUGAGAUCUCCUGGACUUUAAUUCAAGAAGCCAUCAACAUGGACUCACCAGGGUGCUCACUGUGAUCAGCAUUUCUGGAGAGAACCAAGCCUACUCUCAGCCCUCCUGAGUGAAGCAUUGCCACCUUGCUCUCAGAACAAUGUCCACCCCUGAUCAUUUCCACUGAUGCUUGUGCAGAAGAUUCCUGCUGUCUAUCCAAUCUGCUCCUCAAUACUGG
rnacentral:lncRNA from 1 species